CACGAUGCCAUGAGGAAGCAUAGCCAGGACAGCUGACCUGAACUAGCCAGAGGGAUAUUCCAAAAGGAUAUAAAGUAUGGAGAGUUGGUUGGAGGCUGUCAUUUGCUGCUCAAAACCAGGCUGUGCAUCAGUCAGCAUGUGUAUUUAUCACCAAAACUACUUACCCAUUUGGGCAUCUUUCCUGCUUGGGGGUCAUGAUGGUGAAACUGCAGAACCAGCACUGUUACCACCACAGACAGACCAACGAUGACCAUAAUGCUAGCAAAAUACUGAGCUGCAAGCAAAAGGAGGAUUUGGUUAAGGGUGGAGGACAUAUGAAGAACACAUAAUAUUCCUUGUCCAUGCCUUGAGAUCUACAUUUGAGAAGCACUGCAUCACAUCUGAACACCUUCUCUGGUCUGCUGCACUGAAGCAUUUGAGGCAUACAUCUGCUCAGCUUCCUCCUCUCCUGUGAAGGAAGGCCUAGAACACAUGAAAGGUGAAAACUGUUUGGUUUUUUGUCUCUGAAGAAGAGUGUAGGGCCUCACGAAAAACAUAGUCUUACUGCAGCAGAAGAAGUGAUGAGGAAAGCUCCUGUUCUAUCCUCCAUGCCCCUCCUUAAAAGCAUGGCCUAAUCUUCUAGUCUGUUCAUUUCUGUUCCUGACAGUCUUUUGCCCUCACACCAGCAAGGUCAAACCCAUUACUUGGUGACAAAUAAAAGGGCUGCUAUCCCUGUUCACCUGUGUGGCGCCAAUUCAGUUUUGUUAUGCCUCAACAUUGUUUGUCAGAAGGAUGUGGGUGUGGGGCUCCCAUGUAUGCCAUGUCCAGGAGGCAGCCAGGAGAAGAUGGAGGAAAGCCUUGUCUCUGGGGAGACUUUGCUUGACCACCAGUUCAUGUCUGACAUGGGACAGGCAGGCAGCAGGGGAACACCAAAGACACUGUACCCCAGAGACACUUUCCAGUCAGAUGGCAAAAGGUCUCCAGCAAUGUACUGUGCUGGGACAUUGGAUAGGGACAAUGAUUUCCUGUCAGCAGGUGGACUUGGGGACAUAAAAAAUAGCUGCACUGGAAGCUCUGGUGGGCUCUUCAGGGCUAUUCUGUCCCUUGCCUUUUGUCUUUUUGGUGGCUUCUUGAGUCUCAGGCUUUUGCCCUGGCCCCAGCCUGCCUUUUAGCUCUCCUGCCCCCGCUGGCUCCUGCUUGCCCUUUUGUCUGUCCUGCCUCCCUGUGUCCCUGACCAGCACCCUGCCUGCUUUGUCUCUGCAUUCCUGCCUGAACCACCUGCGCCCAACCCUGUCCGCCUCCAAGCCUGCCCACUACCCUGAUCCUCACCACGACCCUGUCCAGGUUCCUGGACCUCCCGCCUGAUCCCCCUUACCUUGUGUCUGGCCACCUGUGGCCACAGGAGCCAUUCCCCAUGCACAGCCCCACCUUAGGGCAUCAAUGGCACCCCCUUACCUCUGGUUGUAAAGCCCUCUU